rnacentral:lncRNA from 1 species
CGAAGCUAGAAGUACCAACUAUCCCAAAGCCUGAAAUCCCAGAACUACCAAAGCCAAAAGUCUCUGAGCUUCCAAAGCUAAAAGUUCCAACAAUGCCAAAGCCUGAAAUUCCAGAACUGCCUAAACCAACUCUUCCUUCACUUUCUCCACCAUACAAACCCGCUACUCCUUGAGUAAAUUAUAUGCUACUUUCAUUCUAUAAGAAAGUACCCAACUGAUGUUUUGAGAUUUCCAUCUCAGUCUAUGAAAUUUGCCACCCGAGUUGUGUCAUUGAGAUAGCAUUGGAUACUUUCUGCUAGGAGUAGAAAUUUUAAUUCUUUUAUAAUAGUUUUUGAAUUGGAUGUACCGAGUUUGUCGUGUUAUUAUAAUAUAUGAGUGUUUUAUGCAUUUCUAUAUAUACAAUAUGAUAAAGCUUUGAUAUAUGUAACUUUGGUUUAGUUCCUAUCCUUGACCGUCUCUGUUUGUCCAUUCUUUCCCUCACAGUUUUUCCUUCCUAAUUUAUAGUAACCAAUUUCUUCCAUUACAGAGUAAUCAGAUACAUACAGAUGCCAUACCCAAUUAAAAAUAGUAGACUUUGACAAUCACAUAGAUAAAUUAUGUAUUAGAAGAAUGUCUUUGCAGGAGAAAUUAGGGUGCACCCUUGAGUUUCUUGGCGAUGGCAGCGAUGUAUUUACCUUGGUGAUGUGCCUGCUGCAAUUCAAGCUCAGAUGGCUGUCUGGAGCCAUCACCAGUGAAUGUUCCAGCUCCAUAUGGACUUCCUCCUUUCACGUUUUCCAUUUCAAACAUGCCAGCACCGAAUGUGUAUCCGAUGGGUACAAAUAUCAUUCCAUGAUGAACAAGCUGAGUUAUAGCAGUCAACCUAUCAUAUACCUCGGGUUAAAACAAUAACAAGGAAGAGAACGACAAUUUAUCAUGUUUAGUCGUAUGAAUUUAUGUGAAAUAAGAUCAUACGGUGUUGUUUCUUGUCCACCGCCUUGGGAUCCAGUGCUAUAGAAUAUGCCUGCAGGCUUGCCAGCUAGUUGUUGUGUUCUCCAUAGACCUCCAGUUGCAUCAAGGAAUGCUUUAAACUGAGCGGACAAUAUUCCGAACCUUGUAGGGAAUCCAAAAACAAAACCAUCAGCUUCAGCAAGUUCUUGAGGUGUUAUAAUAGGCACAUCACUCUUUGGAGGUGCACUCAUUUUCGCUAGCACCUCUUCUGACAAUGUUUCAGGUACCUGUACCACAAAAUGGUAUGUUCUCUUUUAGUAUAUAUAAGUGCCACAAAACAGAGUGGACCUAACAUUUUUAGUGUAGAACCAAACUGGUGAUUUCUGCAUAUGAGAACAUAGUAAUGGAGAAGGUAAUAGCCAAAAUACGAUUCGUUUUGGCUAGAGAGCCCAAAUCAGCUAUAUAAUUGACUCGGGUUUGCCGUAAUGCUAAAACUAUGGCGAAUGCAUCUAUCGUCAUUGAUGCAUAAAUAAAGAUACCAAUUAGUAGUGAUUGAAUUCCUUCUAACCUUCUCCAAAAGAAUGAUAAGGACAACUUAUGCUUCAUGCAUGAUCAGUUAGCUGGUGCAACUACACGAGCCGCUUUCUAUAGACGCCAUUCCCUGAGAUCCCUACACAAGAAUCCCCAAAUAUUCCAGCCUUACCAAAGCCUGAAAUACCAAUACCUGAAGUAUUAAUUAUACCAAACCUAAAAUUUCAGUGUUCCAAAGCUAUAUGUAUCCGGGGCGUAAGCAAGAUUUUUUGUAAGUGUGUCCAUAUUUAAAGGAGCAAACAAAGAACAAAUCUUGUAGCGACAUUAUAUUAAAAAUAUUAGUUUAUUGCUAUAAUUUUCGUCGGCGAGAUCUCAUUUUUUAAAAUGUAUUCAUAACAGUAUACAUAUUUUUUAAUCAUAAUAGUCUCGUUAGAAAUAGUUGUAUAAGGUAAAAACACCAAACAACCACUUAAGAACUCAUUAUUCAUUUGAUUUUACAAAUCAAUCUUAAUCAACUUCAUCACCGAAAAAGCAAUACGCCAAGUCUCAAGUAAUUGGAGCGAGUAGUUUUCAGAAUUAGGUUUUUAUAUGAGCUGAAAUAAUUGAAUCCCGGUAGUGUUUAUAGUUAUUUAUUAUUCUUUUCAUACACAAAAGUUGAUGUGUUCAAGCAGUAAAACUUUAAAAAAAAAAUGAAAGAUACUAAGUAACUGUCAAAAAUUGCAGUAAUUAUGUAGACACCUGAAUGAAGAUUUGCGGUAAAAAAGUGAAUACUUUUUCUCUUUUCAAAGAAAUGAAAUCAGCUAAGCUAAGAAUUCUUAUCAGGUUUCCAGCAUAACCUAUAUGCAAGAGACGGGUUUAGACUAUUAAGUAAUUUAGGUCAUCUAAAUUGACUUUUCAAGUACCAGUCUGGAAGCUGAUUAGUUUGAUGAGAAAUUCAACUACUCGGGUCCAUGGCUAACAAACAGAAAUACAGAAUCCUGAAAGUCCUUGUAAUUGCAUACUUGAAAACUAUAUAAAGCAACAGACUUAAAGUUAAUGCCACAUCCCAAUCACAUCGAGUCCUACAAAUUAUUCUUCUUUUUGCUUCAACUAUCUGCAUAAAAAUGGGUCAGCAUUACAACGUAUCCUCCCUCUUACUACUUGCAUUUCUUAAUUUAUUCUUCAUUUAUGGCAACAUAACUGGUGCGGUUGCACGCCACCUCCUAGAGACGCCCGUCCCUGAGAUACCUAAACCAGAACUACCAAAGGUUCCAGCCUUGCCAAAACUUGAAAUCCCAACUCUGCCGAAGCCUGGGCUUCCAACCAAACCAUAGCCUGAGAUCCCCAUUGUUCCAACGCCCAAGCUACCAACUUUCCCUAAGCCUGAGUUACCAACUUUGCCAAAGCCUAAGCUGCCAGCUAUGCCAAAGCCUGAAUUACCGACUUUGCAAAAGCCUGAGAUUCCAGUUGUGCCAAAACCCAUGCUUCCAGCUAUACCAAAGCCUAAGAUUCCAACAAUGCCAAAACUCGAGUUUCCUUCUUUGAAAAAGCCAGAAGUACCAACUAUGCCAAAGCCUGAAAUCCCAGAACUGCCAAAGCCAAAAGCCCUAGAGCUUCCAAAGCCAAAAGUACCAACUAUGCCAAAGCCUGAAGUCCAAGAACUACCAAAGCCAAAACCCCAGAGCUUCCAAAGCUAAAAGUCCCAACUACGCCAAAGCCUGAAAUCCCAGAACCACCAAAGCCAAAAGUCCCAGAAUUACUAACUAUGUCAAAGCUUGAAAUCCCAGAACUACCAAAGCCAAAAGUCCCUGAGCUUCCAAAGAUAAAAGUCCCAACUAUGACAAAAUCUGAAAUUCCAGAACUACCAAAGCCAAAAGUCCCUGAACAUCCAAAGCUAGAAGUACCAACUAUGCCAAAGACUAAAAUCCCAGAACUACCAAAGCCAGAAUUACCAACUAUGCCAAAGUCUAAAAUCUCAGAACUACCAAACCCAAGAGUCCCCGAGUUUCCAAAUCUAAAAGUCCCAACUAUGCCAAAGCCUUGAAUUCCAGAACUACCUAAACCAACUCUUCCUUCACUUUCUCCACCAUACAAACCUGUUACUCCUUGAGUAAAUUAUGUGCUACUUUCACUCUAUAAGAAAGUACCCAACUCAUGUUUUGAGAUUUCCAUCUCAGUCUAUGAAAUUUGCCACCCGAGUUGUGUCAUGGAGAUAGCAUUGG